UACAGAGACCUCAAGCGUUAUCCGGAAUCAUUGGGCGUAAAGCGUACCGAUAGGUGGUUUUACAAGUCAGAAGUGAAAUCUCAAGGCUCAACUUUGAGACUGUCUUUUGAAACUGUAAAACUAGAGGGGCAAAGAGGAAGCUGGAACGAACGGUGUAGUAGUGAAAUGCGUUGAUAUCGUUCGGAACACCAAUAGCGAAGGCAGGCUUCUGGGUGCCACCUGACACUGCUAGGACGAAAGCGUGGGGAGCGAAUGGG
rnacentral:rRNA from 1 species